CCGCGGUCCUGCUGCAGCCGUGAUGCCUGCGUUUCCCCCGCGGAUCCCCUUGCUCGCCCCGGUCUUCCUACCCCAGGUCCCGCGGUCACCGACUCUGCUGGGGUGUGCGGGUGAAGUGGGGCGCCCCGGCUCCCCUCACCCGGCCUGGAGACGAGCAACGAGCAGACGCCACUAAGUGCUUGCCGGCUGAGCGGGAAGCACCUUCCCCUGGGACCUGGCCGGUGUCUGCAGGCCCAGCGAUGCGGGGAGGCGGCCCCCGGGGCCCUGAAGUCAGGGAUAGGAGUUCGGGGAGAGAGGGGCGCAGGCCCAGGCAGCGGCAGAGCCGUCCCGGCGGAGGACCGCCC
rnacentral:lncRNA from 1 species